AGAGUUUGAUCCUGGCUCAGGAUGAACGCUGGCGGCGUGCCUAACACAUGCAAGUCGAGCGAUUCUCUUCGGAGAAGAGCGGCGGACGGGUGAGUAACGCGUGGGUAACCUGCCCUGUACACACGGAUAACAUACCGAAAGGUAUGCUAAUACGGGAUAACAUAUUUUGAUGGCAUCAUCGAGAUAUCAAAGCUCCGGCGGUACAGGAUGGACCCGCGUCUGAUUAGCUAGUUGGUGAGGUAAUAGCUCACCAAGGCGACAAUCAGUAGCCGACCUGAGAGGGUGAUCGGCCACAUUGGAACUGAGACACGGUCCAAGCUCCUACGGGAGGCAGCAGUGGGGAAUAUUGCACAAUGGGCGAAACCCUGAUGCAGCAACGCCGCGUGAGCGAUGAAGGCCUUCGGGUCGUAAAGCUCUGUCCUCAAGGAAGAUAAUGACGGUACUUGAGGAGGAAGCCCCGGCUAACUACGUGCCAGCAGCCGCGGUAAUACGUAGGGGGCUAGCGUUAUCCGGAAUUACUGGGCGUAAAGGGUGCGUAGGUGGUUUUUUAAGUCAGAAGUGAAAGGCUACGGCUCAACCGUAGUAAGCUUUUGAAACUGAGAAACUUGAGUCCAGGAGAGGAGAGUAGAAUUCCAAGUGUAGCGGUGAAAUGCGUAGAUAUUAGGAGGAAUACCAGUUGCGAAGGCGGCUCUCUGGACUGUAACUUACACUGAGGCACGAAAGCGUGGGGAGCAAACAGGAUUAGAUACCCUGGUAGUCCACGCCGUAAACGAUGAGUACUAGGUGUCGGUGGUUACCCCCCUCGGUGCCGCAGCUAACGCAUUAAGUACUCCGCCUGGGAAGUACGCUCGCAGAGUGAAACUCAAUGAAUUGACGG
rnacentral:rRNA from 1 species